UGGCUCAGCUGGCAGAGCGUCUGCCUAGUAAGCAGAAGGUCACCAGUUCGAUUCUGG
rnacentral:tRNA from 1 species